GACGAACGCUGGCGGCGUGCUUAACACAUGCAAGUCGAACGGAAAGGCCCUGCUUUUGUGGGGUGCUCGAGUGGCGAACGGGUGAGUAACACGUGAGUAACCUGCCCUUGACUUUGGGAUAACUUCAGGAAACUGGGGCUAAUACCGGAUAGGAGCUCCUGCUGCAUGGUGGGGGUUGGAAAGUUUCGGCGGUUGGGGAUGGACUCGCGGCUUAUCAGCUUGUUGGUGGGGUAGUGGCUUACCAUGGCUUUGACGGGUAGCCGGCCUGAGAGGGUGACCGGACACGUUGGGACUGAGAUGAGGCACAGACUACUACGGGAGGCAGGAGUGGGGAAGAUUGCACAAUGGGCGGAAGCCUGAUGUAGCAACGCCGCGUGGGGGAUGAGGGGCUUCGGGUUGGAAACCGCUUUCGCCUGUGACGAAGCGUGAGUGACGGUAAUGGGUAAAGAAGCACCGGCUAACUACGUG
rnacentral:rRNA from 1 species